rnacentral:rRNA from 1 species
CGUAGGUGGCAAGCGUUGUCCGGAUUUAUUGGGUUUAAAGGGUGCGUAGGUGGUCUUGUAAGUCAGUGGUGAAAUACGGCAGCUCAACUGUCGAGGUGCCAUUGAUACUGCAAGACUUGAGUACAGACAAGGUAGGCGGAAUUGACGGUGUAGCGGUGAAAUGCUUAGAUAUCGUCAAGAACACCGAUAGCGAAGGCAGCUUACUAGACUGUAACUGACACUGAGGCACGAAAGUGUGGGGAUCAAACAGGAUUAGAUACCCUGGUAGUCCACACUGUAAACGAUGAUUACUCGAUGUUGGCGAUACACAGCCAGCGUCUUAGCGAAAGCGAUAAGUAAUCCACCUGGGGAGUACGCCCGCAAGGGUG